UACGUAGGGCGCAAGCGUUUAUCCGGAAUUAUUGGGCGUAAAGAGCUCGUAGGCGGUUUGUUGCGUCGGCUGUGAAAUCCCGAGGCUCAACCUCGGGUCUGCAGUCGAUACGAGCAAACUAGAGUGUUGCAGGGGAGACUGGAAUUCCUGGUGUAGCGGUGAAAUGCGCAGAUAUCAGGAGGAACACCGGUGGCGAAGGCGGCAUCCUGGACCGGUAUUGACGCUGAUGCGCGAAAGCCAGGGGAGCAAACGGG
rnacentral:rRNA from 1 species